GAUAAUACAGUGGAAGCAUGAUGGAAUGUGGGACUGAGAGUCCAGAAGACCCCACAAUCAAACCCAGGCUCUGACCCUACCUGUGUGAACAUGCGCAUCAGCCCCUAGAAAAACGUGUGGCGUCAGCUGCUCCUACUGAUGGGGGUCCAUUUCUAUUUCCCAGCAGAAACACAGAAUGUCAGAGUUGAAAAGGAUUUCAAAGGCCAUGGUAGUUCAACCUAUACCAAGCUGAGAAGCUCUUAUUCAGAUUCCCAACAACUGAUUGUUCAGCCUCUGGGUGAAGACCUCUGGGGGAAAUCACUACUUCCCAAGGCAAUCCAUUCUACUUUUAGAUGGCUCAUUGGGGAGUCUUCGCUUAA